AGAGUUUGAUCCUGGCUCAGGACAAACGCUGGCGGCGUGCCUAAUACAUGCAAGUCGAACGGUCUUCCUUAGGGAAGAUAGUGGCGGACGGGUGAGUAACACGUAGUUGACCUGCCCUUUGGUGGGGAAUAACUCCUCGAAAGAGGAGCUAAUACCGCAUAAGCUCUUCAUCGCUGGGUGGAGAGGAAAUCUCAUGAGUAAUUGUGGGAGCUGAAGGAGGGGACUGCGGCGGAUUAGCUAGAUGGUGGGGUAAAGGCCUACCAUGGCGACGAUCCGUAGCUGGUCUGAGAGGACGAUCAGCCACACUGGGACUGAGACACGGCCCAGACUCCUACGGGAGGCAGCAGUAAGGAAUAUUCCACAAUGGGCGAAAGCCUGAUGGAGCGACGCCGCGUGAGGGAUGAAGCUUUUCGGAGUGUAAACCUCUUUUCUUUGGGAUGACACUCCCCUUCGGGGGAUACGACAGUACCAGAGGAAUAAGCAUCGGCUAACUACGUGCCAGCAGCCGCGGUAAUACGUAGGAUGCAAGCGUUGUCCGGAUUUACUGGGCGUAAAGCGCGCGCAGGUGGCAUGGCAAGUAAGGUGUGAAAUCUCCCUGCUCAACGGGGAGGGAGCGCUUUAGACUGCCAAGCUAGAGGACGGUAGAGGGGGGUGGAAUUGCUGGUGUAGCGGUGAAAUGCGUAGAGAUCAGCAGGAACACCCGUGGCGAAGGCGGCCCCCUGGGCCGUACCUGACGCUGAGGCGCGAAGGCUAGGGGAGCGAACGGGAUUAGAUACCCCAGUAGUCC
rnacentral:rRNA from 1 species